rnacentral:lncRNA from 1 species
AUACAUUAUUGAUGUAUUUUGAUGAUUUAUGUUUGAUUCUUUUUUCCUAUGAUUUCAGAAAAAGAAGUAAAGACCCCUGGUAAAGCAAAGAUUGGGGCAGAAUCUUCUUUAGCUUCUACUCAGGACUAAGAAGAUUCUCAGACUGAGGAGAGUGCCCCGGACAAGAAGACGUCUGGUAAGAUGACUGAUGGAGAAAGUUCUGUCCAUCAUAAAGGGAAACUCCACUCAAAAACAGUCUUCUGGUAUUUGUUUCAUUAGUCC